rnacentral:rRNA from 1 species
AUGCUGGCUCACUUUGGAGAGGUUACGGGCCUGCAUACCAACUGCUCCAAAAGCCUAGUUGCCCCAAUCCGGUGUGACAACUUGGAUCUGAAUGAUAUCCUCCUCUCCUUCCAGGCCAACCGCUCAUAUUUCCCUAUGAAAUAUCUGGGUCUGCCAUUGUCGAUCAAAAGAUUAAAUAGAAUCCACUUCCAAUCCCUCGAAGAUAAGAUUGCAGCCCAACUUACGCUAUGGAUGGGCAAACAUGUUGCAUCGCCAUGA